CACUCAUUUCUAAGUAACAAAAUAAGAACUUUUAUUUCGUCCUUAACUAAUAUUUUACAGGUGUUUUGUAUAAAAACUAUCAGCUGUUGGGUACGCAGCACGUCACACGUGUCAAUAAGGCGAGUGACGUCAACCCGGGUUGGACGGGUUUAUCAGUCUUAUAAGAUUUCUUGAAAUCCUAUAAGACGCCGGAUGCCCGUCUCGUGGCAAUUAUUCGUGUCGAUCUGAAGCAGUCAAUGUAGGGUCCUAAGGUGUACGAUAACGUACAAGCUCAAACAAAAAAACAAUCCGAAAUUCAGAAUCUGUCUAGAUUUAGCUUACUGUAUUUAACAUAUUAUGUCCUAAAUAUACAUAUUAUAUUUUAAGUAGAUUUUUCAAACGACGGUCAAACAUUUUGGGAAAUGCUCUUAAGUUAUGAGUUCUAAGGUCUCAGUUUUUACAGUACAACGGCUGCCCCAUCCUUCAAACCGAAAUUCAUUACUGCUUAAUUACCCUAAAAUAAGCAGGGUGGUGGUACCUACCCGUGCAGUCUCACAAGAUGUCUAACCAUCUCAAUUGAUUAAUGUCUCAAAUGAAUCAAUUACAUUUCACUUCGCUCAGAAUAUACAAACAAAAGGUUCAGCUGUAUGGUGUGAUACCUUCGCCUUUUCACUUGGAAAAAUGGAAUACCACUACUGUCAAUUAUCUAAAGCUGUCACGGAAAAAAAAAUUUAAAGAGAUUUUAUGACCUGGUAACUAAGACCCUUAAGUCGUCUCAUUUUAAUUUAUGUUCUUAUUUUUAUGAAAAAUGAUAAUAUGGAGUGAAAUGAAAUGAAACGAAGACAACUGAUUUGUGACAUUAAUCAACUGGGAUGAAACUAAACGAGAUGCGAUGAGAUGAUAUGGGAUGAAAUAUAAUCUGAGUAAAAUGGUGGUCAUUUACUGAGAUUUUUUCAGUGGACUUUUUGGAGGAUCCCGAGAAGUUACGUCCAGCGGCCUUGUUUCAUUUUCCCACAUUUGUGCACUUUAACAGAUAUUAAACAGUUAAGAAACCACCGUUAUUACACAUUUAAACCCGAAGAAACACUAAAUUGACAAAUUAAAAGCAAAUCACACAAACUUCACUCCUCGCGUUCCCGCCAAAAAGUCCUGUCAUGGAAAACUUAUUAACAUGGGUAUAGAUAAUACACCUAAUAUUUAGGGUCAUCGGUACGGGUGAAUGAAGUUAGCCCCUCAAAAACAUUUUUUUUUCCUUUUUUCUACUUAUUUUCUAUUAAUUCGUUUGUUCAUCAUUUGUUCUUGAUUGUUAAUUGGUAAUAAUUGUUUGUUCCCCAUUUAUUUAUUUUAAAAAAAAUAUUAAAAAUAUAUCUAAAAGUUAGCCCCUCGAUUGCAAUUUUUAAUAUUUUUUCGUCCUUAAUUACUCGUAAAUAUUCAUUUUCGAUUGUUCUUAUAUAAAAUACGUUUGUUCUCUUUCGAAAUUACUCAUUUUUUGUUUAAUUAAUUGUAUUAGUUGAAUAAAUGUAUACAAAAUAUGUGUACUGCGCAUGCCAUAAGUGUAUAAUCUAUGGCGCAUGCGUCAACUAUAAUACCUAAACUUUCUACGCGGUUUUAAUCGUGAAAAAAAACAAUUAUAAAUCCUGAAGGAUCAAUUAAUUGGUAUACAGUUUAAUUAAAAAAAUUAAAAAAAAAAUAAAAAAAAAAAUGUGCAUUCGCGUAAAGUUAGCCCAAAUACAUUUUUUCCAUCCUCCUAUAUACCUAUCGCUAUGAAGGUAUAAAAAAGAUAGGUUAAGAGUUCACAUAGGUAAUAUAAACAAAUAAGUAAAUAUGUUCAUUAUUUAUCUUUCAAGAGAUAAUGUAGGUAUAUAUACAUUAUAAUAACAUUUUGACACAGUCGAAAUUAUAUUCCUAACAUUAGUAAAAUAACAUUGUAAUAUUUUUUUUAUAGGUUAUGUAUUGAAAUUGUUGGAAAAUUAUUUCAUGUUUUAGCUGGAAAACUACAUGGAGAAUUAUAUGCAAUACAAGAUAAUGAGCUCCAUCAAAUGAAUUCGAAUGAAACCAAACUGUUUACCAUCCAAAUUCGAUUGUCGGGCAGAUAGAAAACGAAAAUUCACUCAUAGUGAACCUCGGCCUGCAUUUGUGAAACGGCAAAGACUCACUAUUAUCAAGGAAAUUGAAGAGACGACUAAAAAUGAGAUGUGUCGUAUUAUUAUACCUUUGCCAUCUUGUAGUCAAGAUGUCCAGCCACUUGAAAAUAGGUGUAGCAAUGACAAAGCUAUCCAAGUAGCUCCAGCACAGGAACACAAAGGCAAGGCAAGUGUGUAUUGCCACAUCACCCCUUAAUAUAUCUGAAGCAAGUAUAAGUAAACAAUCAGAACCAGCAAAAAAAAAACUGUUGUUCCUGAGGACAAAUUUGACAGUGAUGAGUCAAAUGCACCAGCAACAGAAGGAUCGACUGUUGACUAUGGGUUAUAGAAGAAGAAGAUUAAUUCAUAUUUAUUUAAAUUAAUAUUAAUGAAUAUUAAUUUAAAUUAUCGUGCAAAAUUUGUGGUCAAAACAUAUGUGUAUUUUAUAAAUAAAUAUUCAUUCUCAGUA